GUGUUCUGGUUACAAUGUCGACUUUGUGGCAGCGUCAGUGGUAUAUGCAAUUUAAUGGUGAUCCUGUCUACUCAACUCUUCCAAACGAUGCAGUAAUGCCACCAUAAUCAUGUGGGCGUGUCGCCGACAGACCGCCAUGUGGGUACAAAAUAACGAGCGCUGAAGUUGAUUGGAAGCCGUUGUUCUUUUGAAAAAACGGUGAAAGGCCGAUAAUUAUCGUUGCCAUUGACAUCCUUCCAUCUCUUUCCCAAGUACUACUACACAUGCAACCAAUUCUACGCUUAGGAGAAAGAAAUUCACAUUUCAUGUAUUUUUUAAAUAGCUUGCGAAGAUACUUGAACGCAGCUAAUAUCAUGUUAUUGUAUACAAGCUGUAUUUUUACAAUAUUUGUGUACGAUGUCUAUCGUUGUUUAGGUUUGGGGUUAAUCCUUUAAACGUGUGUAAGAAUACGUCGUGAUUUUUUUGUGGUGUGGUCAUUAUUUACAACAGUUUGAUAAACCAAGUUUGAUUGGAUGUAGAUUAUAUUAUGUUGGAUGUAUAAUGUACAUAUGAUUUCAUGUAUGUGGAAUUUUUUCAAAUACUCUGUAUAAAUGGCAUUCGAAAAUUUGACAUGGAGAGAGUUAGAACAGAGGAUCGCGAAGCCCACUUGCAUUUUGACCUUUUGAUUUACAUUAGGAAUGAAGGUAUUGAAGGUGGCAGUCGCUUCCUGCGCCUCUUCGUUCAGUCUUCCUGGGUUCCAGGGUCUUUCACGCCUUGCUUUCCUGGACCUCUUACUGAGAUUCACCGAUUUUCGUAUUACUUUGUGUAAAAAUUUAC